AGAGAAUGUACUUCAAAAAUGAUAUAAAAAUAUUAAAUCAUAGCUAAUAACGAUAUCUUACUUUAGCUGAAGUUGUCUUUCUUACAUCUUAGUCUCAUAUAGGUGUCUCAGAUUAAAAGAUGAAGUUUAGUAUUUUACCUGUUUUGGUAAUAAUGGGGAUGGUUACAAAAUCAACGACUGUAUCAAGCAAUUCGGUUAUGAGAUUUGACUGUGAGGCACUUCUAGUUCAUUUAAAGGAUUUGUAUAAAAUGAUGAUGUUAGCCGGAGAUGUACCGAAAUUGAAAACAAUUGAGAGAAAGUCUGAAAGAGCUCCAUCAUUGAGACUUCGCUUUGGUAAACGAAUUGAGGAUUUGCUUGUAAAACCAGUUUACGCAGAGCACAGAAAUGUAUUCGAACAUGCCAUGAGAAAAUGAAUUCAUGCUAAUGGCAACGGAACAUCGAUUAUAUUACAUACCAUUGAGAAUUUUUACUAAUUUUCUUAUAUCUACUCACAAAAUUAAUUCCUCAAAUUGAUUUUGUUCUCUUGAAACACUGAUCUGCAG